UAAAAAUAAAAUACAUUUUGAUGUAUGUAGCAUAAAAAUUUUUGAUAUUUUUAGGAAUAGUUAAAUUCUAUUAAAUGUAA
rnacentral:tRNA from 1 species